rnacentral:rRNA from 1 species
GGGUGUGAUCAUACCAGCCCUAAUGCACCGGAUCCCAUCAGAACUUCACAGUUAUGCUUGCUUGGUCGAGAGUGGUACUAGGAUGGGUGACCUCCUGGGAAGUCCUUGUGUUGGACCGC